rnacentral:rRNA from 1 species
UGGACUUGACAUCUCGGAGAUUUUUUAGAGAUAAGAAAGUGCCUUUCGGGGAAUCCGAAGACAGGUGCUGCAUGGCUGUCGUCAGCUCGUGCCGUGAGGUGUUCGGUUAAGUCCGGCAACGAGCGCAACCCUUAUCUUCAGUUACCAUCAUUAAGUUGGGGACUCUGGAGAGACUGCCCGGGUUAACCGGGAGGAAGGUGGGGAUGACGUCAAGUCCUCAUGGCCCUUAUGUCCAGGGCUACACACGUGCUACAAUGGCAGGAACAGAGGGAAGCGAGACCGCGAGGUGGAGCAAAUCCCACAAAUCCUGUCCCAGUUCGGAUAGGAGUCUGCAACUCGACUCCUUGAAGUUGGAAUCGCUAGUAAUCGCGGAUCAGCAUGCCGCGGUGAAUACGUUCCCAGGCCU